GUUCUAAUGAGGUGUUUUAAAAGAUGUGAUCUCAAACCCAGAAACAUGGUUCCAAAGGUGCUUCAAAAGACUUGAUCUCAAACCCAGAAACAAGGUUCUAAAGGUGCUUUCAAAGACUUGUUCUCAAAAAAAGGCUUCAAAAAAGGUGCUUUCAAAGACUUGUACUCAAACAAAAAAGGUUCAAAAGGUGCUUUCAAAGACUUGUUCUCAAACAAAAGGGUUUAAAAGGUGUUUUCAAAGCCUUAGUCUCGAACCAAAAAAGCUUCAAAAGGUGCUUUCAAAUACUUUACCUCAAACCCCAAAAAAGUUUUAGAAGUUGCUUCCAAGGACUUGAUCUUAAACCCAAAAUACAAGGUUUAAAAGGUGCUUAAAAAAAGUGGUUCUUAAAAUAGCAAAGACGGUAUGUUAAAAGUCUGCUCUCAAAAGGUCUGUCAAAGCAAUUUCAGCAAAAUCACUAUCAACUAAAACUAAGUUUCAAAACCACCAACAUCACAACAACCGUCAAAGUGCUUCCAAAGGAUCCAACGGAAACAACAAGACAGCAACGUUUGCACAUUGUUUCUAUCAGAUGUAACUGUCAACACUAAACAGAACGAGGACAAUAAACAAACUGUGCAGAUCCUCCAACUGUUUUUUGUUAAAACUGUAGUUUUUCUUAUUUUUUAUUUAUUCUUUGUAUUUUUGUGAACCUUUGAAUCUCUGAAAUGGAAUCCUUGAACUGUGCUUAUCAUGAUCUGCAUGACUUAUUUUUUUUUUUAAACUUAUUUAUUUUCUGUAUGUUUGGCCAUGUUUCUUUUGGUGCAUAUGUAUGUCUGCUUUCCUCCGAACAUAAUCAGGUCUGACGAGGUGACCACUCUUUUCCUGGAGGGACUGUUGCUGCAGAAACUCAAAGUGCCGCCUUCCUGUUCCGUCUGGGAAAUCCAAGGGUGGUCAUCUUGUUGAAGGUAAGAUGAACUUUUCAUUGUGGUAACGUUAUGUUUUCAUCAAAGUAACCACAAGAAAGCAUGUAAGAAACCAGGUCCUGCAUUCUGAUAACUUCAUCCAUAUUCAGUUUAAAACAGAUUUUCUAAUGCUGCACAUCACCUUCACUGUUUUUAAGUCGAGUAUUUUCUGCAUUUGUAUGUGUGUGUCUCUCUCCUUUUCCCCAACCAUCACAGAAGUGAGCAUCUUCAGUGUUGAACCUGGCAACCACCAAUGUCUUCAGGAAGGAUCUAGAUCACCUCUAAGAGACGAAGUCAGGCAUCCUUGUGCUGCAGGUAAAUGUGACGGGGAACACCACUUAACACACUGUCCUAUUGUCACCCAAAUGACUGAAUGCUUCAACUCCAGAAACAACUUUUCUCUGGUUAUUAAAUCGUUUUCACAAAGGCGCAAUGCGACGUGGGUGUGCCCCAGCUGUUCUACCAAAGUUAAGGCCCACCUAAGCUCGAUCUAUGCCUGUUUUUAUGUUGAUAACAUGUAAGGCUGGGUCAGUGUUUCCAAUGUCGUGACUAUAACCUCUCUUCGAAAACCAGUAGGUGAUGCAACAGCUGUGUAUUUUGUGAGUACUUUGUUGUUUGCAGGUGACUCAAGGAUGUGGAUGCAGGAGAAUAUUAGCUCUUAAGUGACGCUGCAGCCUUUUCUGAUGUUUAACUGUACAGAUUUGUGUGUUUCUGUCUGUAACAAUCAUACUCAUUUUCUGUGCCUGUAAAGACAUAGUUUUACAUGUUAUUUUUCAGAAACAAGUCCUGAUGCCCUCUAGAAAAGAGCCCAGCUGGAGAAGUGUGUCCGAUGUCCCAGUCGAACGAUAAAAACAUUUCAGCCAUAAGGUGGGUUAUUUUAUCAAAAAGGUGAAUGUCUCUAUUGAAACACAACAGCUGAAACAGUCAUAAUACUCUGAUGCAAAGAUGCAACACCACAAGGUUCAACGAUCAAAAACACAACAAUCAAACCAAAAACAAGGUUUAAAAAGUGUUUUCAGCCACACAACCACAAACCAACAAGGUUCACAACGAUGCGUUCAAAGACAAUAUGGAAACAGACAACAAGGUUCAUGAGGUGCUUUCAGGGACAUGAUGGUAACACAAACAAGGUUUAAAUGGUGCUUUCAAUGACACAACAAAAAGGUUUAAAUGGUGCUUUCAAUGACAAAAGGACAAAUCACCAAGGUUUAAAUGGUGCUCACAGAGACACAAUGGUAAUACAAGGUUUAAAUGGUGCUUUCAAUGACAAAAGGGAAAACCACUAACAAGGUACAAAAGUUUGACAACGGUCAAUAAAUCAAGAAAUGCUAAAAACACUACAUAAAAACCAAACCAAAAAAGAAAAUUCACAACUAACCGGAGAAUGGUUCAGCAUCACUCAAGGUUAAAAGGGUUUUAUGACUUUAAAAAGGUUAUUUCUGUUUUCAUGAAACUUGGUUGGCAUGAAAAUGCCAAAAAAAUGUCAGUUGCGAGUUUUACCAAAUACUUAAUGAGCCCACCACUAAAACAACAAAAUCCAAAAAGCAAAACAACAACUCUUAAGGAAACAACAAAUCGGCAAAGUUCACUCAGUUCUCCAAAAGGAAACCAACUCAACAAGGACAACCUCAACAUCAACUCCAACUUCAGGCCUCACCAAUGUCUCCUCUACAGCUUCAACUAAAAUGAGGGGGACAAUGAACUGUAACCAUAAAAUGGGUUUUUUUUUUGUGUCUUUUUUGACCCUCCAGUCUCUGUAAAAAAUCUGAGAUGUUUGUUUUCUUUGUGUUUUUUUUUUUGUUCUUUUUGUUUUGUUUCUUUUUGACCCUCCAGUCUCUGUAAAAAAUCUGAGAUGUUUGUUUUCUUUGUGUUUUUUUUUCUUCUUUUUGUUUUGUUUCUUCUUGACCCUCCAGUCUCUGUAAAAAUCUGAGAUCUGUACUUGUCAUGGUUUUUUGUGUCCUGUUAUUCUGUACGAGGUUUUUAUGCCUCCCUUUGGCCGCACAUGUAUGUCUCUGCUUUUCCCCUAAACAUUAAGAAGGUGUCGAGCUGUGGCAUUGGAUGUGCUGACCACCACCAGGUCCUGGGAGGAUCUGAUGCUGCCCCACUUCGAUGAGCUGCUCCUCCAUCCAGACUGGGAAGUUUUUAAGAGUCACCGUCAAGCUGAAGGUUUCUGAAGUUCUCUUUUAAUGAUUUUGAGAAACUUUUCAAAGUUCUUGUAGUUGUUUUCACCGAGGUCCAAACACUCCAGCUUUUCUGGGGGUUUGUAGACGCCCAAGAGAAAAUUGAUUUUAAAUCUGUCUGUUGAAUCUUUUAAGUCUGUUUCCAAUGUAGUGACCCAUCUUUCUGCUUCUCCAAAAUCUAUCUUGUGUUGUUACAGUCUACAUCCAAGAAGACCCUGGCAGACCCCAUCACCUGCUGGACUCUGAGCUCCUGUAUACUGGGUUACAGGUGAGCAUGGAGUACAGAUUCCACCACCUACAAAAAAAACCUGGUACAGUAGUUUUAUCUGAUGCAUCCAGAUUUCCUAACCCCUGCCAAUUUUAAUCUCUCCCAAACACCAGUGCUUUGCCCACUUUGAGGGAUGGAUCUUCUUCAUUCUGGACCCCUUUAACUGAAGUCUGCACCAGCACAGAAACCUGCCUCUGGACACCAUCAGACUCUACUAGAUGCCGUGGACACCAUCCCCGAGAAACCGGUACAUAAAACAGAGAUAAUGAUUCACUUAUAGGUUAAAAACUGUGCCAGUCUAAAGAAUAAAUUUGUCCUUUUGUUUCAGGACUACACCGAGAUAUCGAUGACCCCCUCUUGCUCCAGGACCCGGCUGAAGAAUGAAGACAAAGACUUGGUCCCCUGAUUGGAGGUAAGUCAAUCUUUGCAAGUGGUCUUGCUUGUUUCAGUCAAAGUUUUAUGGUGAUAAAUUGAUGUUAACAGUCCACUAACUGGAUCUGAUCCCUGUCUGCCUUCUGUAGUCGCCACCCUGCAGGCGGACUUCCUGUCUCACUGUGAGCCCGUAG